CGGGAAAGCGGCGCCUAUAGUCUCGCUCUGCUAUGCAGGCGAGACAAUAAUUAAACGAAAAAAAAAUAAUAUUGAGACCAAGUCCGGGACCAAGUGAUCGCGAACGAUCGCACGAGCAAUUGUGAAAGCCCCUUAUUGUAUCCCUAGACCCCAAAAUAUCCAAUCUGGAAUAAAAUGAUUGAAAAUGGUUUUUAAACUGAUUUGAGUAGGUAUGGGUGUCAACAUUUCCCCCCCCCAAAAAAAAAGAAAAAAAAAUAGGAGAAAUAUGGGUUGGGAAAAGUGGUUUUCCAAGGUCAAAGGUCAAUGACCUUUUCAUAUAUACUGUAUAAUGGUAUCUCUGAGAUGGAAAGGUGCAGGUUGGUUAUGAUGGUGUCAAAAUGAACAAAUUCUUACCACAUAAUUCUUAUCAAAUAAAAUGAAAUAAAGUACCUAGACCGAUACCUAUACAUUCACCGAUAUAUUCAAGGUCAAAGCAAUUCAAAGCUCCGUGACCUUUUACACAUUAAAUACCAUGUUAUAUAAUGGUAUCUCUAAGAUAAAACGGCGCAGGUUGGUGUUCUUGGUGUCAAAAUACACAGAUUCUUACAGGAAGAUCAAACAAAAUUAAGCACCGAGAAUGCACAUUCACCUAUAAAAUUCAAGGACAAAUGUCUAUGUCCUUUUCAACAUAACUAAUAAUGGUAUAUCUAAUGCCACCAAGUAACUGAUUUUUGGAAAAAGGUUCACUUUUUAAUAUUAGAUUGGUCUCGAAAAGACAUUUACUUAGAAGAAAAGAUUAUUGUAAUUGGUUUUAAAAUCAGUGAGUCUAAAUUUGAUUUGAUUAACCUAUUAUUAAUUUAUGCACAAUAUGCUGUGUACAAAGUAUAUAUGCUAAAUUACUUCAAGAAUAAAUUGUUCAAUAGUCAAGCAAUUUGGAUGGUAUUUAAAAGUGAUUUCAGGAAUUCUGUUCAGUGGAAAUACAAAAAUAAGAAAGAUGUUUUAGAAGAACUUGAAAAGUUUCUGUUUUAGAUACUCUUACCAUUUCUGCAUUUGUAUUUACUCCUUCUUUUCUAUACCUGUUGAUUAAUUUUGUAUACAUGUGACUAUAUCGUUAUUUUGAUUUUAUGAAAUAAAGUACCUCAGAAGAGGAAAAGAGAAAAAAAAUAAUAAUGGUAUAUCUGAGAUAAAACACCGCAGGUUGGUGAUCUUGGUGCCAAAAAAGCAAAGAUGUGUACAAGAAGAUUAAACAACAUGAACAACACAUAAAUAAAUAUAAAGAAUAAACUUUCAUCCUUGAAAUCCGAGAUCAGGGGAUAUAUAUAUAUAAUCUGUAUAGCAUAAAAAUAGCCAAAAAAAUUAUCCUUUGUGUUCCUAUUUCAUUUGUGAAUAAUGUAAAUAAAUAUGGCUUAUUUGUAAUGAAAACAUGGAGGUUUCAUAAUUUCAGUCUGAAUGAAGGUCGUGGAGAACGUAUUUAGGGGUCCGAGGUCAAUGAACUCUUCCCGAAAUACCAGUGGAAAUUACAUAAAAAAAGGUUGAUAACCAAAUACUACUUCUUCAUAUACUGCGAUGCGUUGCCAAAAGCAAUGAAAAAAAAAAUGAAAUCAAGUAUAUAAUUUGAAAUGAUUUUUAUCUUAAGUAGCAACAUUUAAUGCAUCAUAAUAUCUGCAUCAAGGUUGUCAUGUCUUUUUCUCUCCAGCGAUAGGCCACUCACCUCAAUGCUAUAAUAAAUACUAUAUUUUAGCUUAAUCUUCUGAAAAUGGAUAGGAUAGGUCUAACUCUCAUGUCACAGCUAACAUCAUCUGAGAGCAUUUGCAUUUCCAAAAAGCAGAGGGAUGAUGAUGAAGAUGAUGAAAUGAAGGUUAUCAUUAGAGCUGUAGCUUCUGUAAUAGUAAAUGACAUUUAUCUCAACUUCAGCAAAGAUGAAUUCCCGUAUUAUUAUUAAUUACCUUUCAUUGCAAGCUGCCAGAAUGCUACUGCUGCAGGACAAAGCUUCAUAUCUGCUCUCUGCCGUACGUCACCCAUGAUGCUAUUUCUACUAUAGGUAUCAGUUUGUACAAGGGCCAUGAAUUUAGUCCAGAACAACCGAUUGCUAUCAAUCACAACUUAGGCAUAUAAUAUUGAAAUUCAAAAGGAGAUAAUAACUUACAAGUACACGUCCAUUGACCUAACAAAACUCCUACAGCACCACUUCCAGUUCUUGAUAAUCAAGCUGUGCAACAUAUCAGUAAUAAUAUAGAUCCUUGAUUGAUAUCCCUUGACAGAACGUUAGGCUUCCAUUAAAUGGGCCAGAUCAAAGUCCCGUAAAUGUCAAAAGGUUUUCGAAAGUUUUAUUACUCUUUGCUGAAGUUGAGACACUUAUCUUCAUUUACCAUGACAAAAGCUG
rnacentral:lncRNA from 1 species